UACGAAGGGGGCUAGCGUUGUUCGGAAUCACUGGGCGUAAAGCGCACGCAGGCGGAUUGAUAAGUCAGGGGUGAAAUCCCGGAGCUCAACUUCGGAAUUGCCUUUGAUACUGUCUAUCUUCGAGUUCGGGAGAGGUUGGCGGAAUUCCUAGUGUAGAGGUGAAAUGCGUAGAGAUCCGGAAGAACACCGGUGGCGAAGGCGGCCUGCUGGGCAGUUGCUGACACUGAGGCGCGACAGCGUGGGGAGCAAACAGG
rnacentral:rRNA from 1 species